UACGGAGGGUGCGAGCGUUAAUCGGAAUCACUGGGCGUAAAGCGCGCGUAGGCGGCUUUUCAAGUCAGGGGUGAAAUCCCACGGCCCAACCGUGGAACUGCCUUUGAAACUGUAGAGCUUGAGUGUCGGAGAGGGUGGCGGAAUUCCAGGUGUAGGAGUGAAAUCCGUAGAUAUCUGGAGGAACACCGGUGGCGAAGGCGACGAUCUGGCCUGCAACUGACGCUCAGUCCCGAAAGCGUGGGGAGCAAAUAGG
rnacentral:rRNA from 1 species